AGAGUUUGAUCCUGGCUCAGGAUGAACGCUAGCGACAGGCUUAACACAUGCAAGUCGAGGGGCAGCACAGGUAGCAAUACCGGGUGGCGACCGGCGCACGGGUGAGUAACGCGUAUGCAACUUGCCUAUCAGAGGGGGAUAACCCGGCGAAAGUCGGACUAAUACCGCAUGAAGCAGGGGCCCCGCAUGGGGAUAUUUGCUAAAGAUUCAUCGCUGAUAGAUAGGCAUGCGUUCCAUUAGGCAGUUGGCGGGGUAACGGCCCACCAAACCGACGAUGGAUAGGGGUUCUGAGAGGAAGGUCCCCCACAUUGGUACUGAGACACGGACCAAACUCCUACGGGAGGCAGCAGUGAGGAAUAUUGGUCAAUGGCCGAGAGGCUGAACCAGCCAAGUCGCGUGAGGGAUGAAGGUUCUAUGGAUCGUAAACCUCUUUUAUAAGGGAAUAAAGUGUGGGACGUGUCCCGUUUUGUAUGUACCUUAUGAAUAAGGAUCGGCUAACUCCGUGCCAGCAGCCGCGGUAAUACGGAGGAUCCGAGCGUUAUCCGGAUUUAUUGGGUUUAAAGGGUGCGUAGGCGGCCUUUUAAGUCAGCGGUGAAAGUCUGUGGCUCAACCAUAGAAUUGCCGUUGAAACUGGGGGGCUUGAGUAUGUUUGAGGCAGGCGGAAUGCGUGGUGUAGCGGUGAAAUGCAUAGAUAUCACGCAGAACCCCGAUUGCGAAGGCAGCCUGCCAAGCCAUUACUGACGCUGAUGCACGAAAGCGUGGGGAUCAAACAGGAUUAGAUACCCUGGUAGUCCACGCAGUAAACGAUGAUUACUAGGAGUUUGCGAUACAAUGUAAGCUCUACAGCGAAAGCGUUAAGUAAUCCACCUGGGGAGUACGCCGGCAACGGUGAAACUCAAAGGAAUUGACGGGGGCCC
rnacentral:rRNA from 1 species